GAUGAACGCUGGCGGCGUGCCUAAUACAUGCAAGUCGAGCGAACAGAUGAGGAGCUUGCUCCUCUGACGUUAGCGGCGGACGGGUGAGUAACACGUGGAUAACCUACCUAUAAGACUGGGAUAACUUCGGGAAACCGGAGCUAAUACCGGAUAAUAUAUUGAACCGCAUGGUUCAAUAGUGAAAGACGGUUUUGCUGUCACUUAUAGAUGGAUCCGCGCCGCAUUAGCUAGUUGGUAAGGUAACGGCUUACCAAGGCAACGAUGCGUAGCCGACCUGAGAGGGUGAUCGGCCACACUGGAACUGAGACCCGGUCCAGACUCCUAAGGGAGGCAGCAGUAGGGAAUCUUCCGCAAUGGGCGAAAGCCUGACGGAGCAACGGCGCGUGAGUGAUGAAGGGCUUCGGAUCGUAAAACUCUGUUAUUAGGGAAGAACAAAUGUGUAAGUAACUAUGCACCUCUUGACGGUAACUAAUCAGAAAGCCACGGCUAAAUACGUG
rnacentral:rRNA from 1 species